GGCCACUAGAAUAAGUAGCUACUAACUACGUGCCAGCAGUCGCGGUAAUACGUAGGCUACAAGCGUUACUCGGAUUUAUUGGGCGUAAAGGGUCUGUAGACGGUUUUCUAAGUCUUGUUUCAAAGACCUCGACUUAAUCGAGGAAAGGGGCAAGAUACUGGGAGACUAGAGUGGUAUCGGGGUUACUGGAAUUUUUAGUGUAGGGGUUAAAUCCGUGGAUACUAAAAAGAACACCAAGCGCGAAGGCGGGUAACUAGGUAUUUACUGACGUUCAGAGACGAAAGCUAGGGUAGCAAAUCAGAUUAGAGACCUGAGUAGUCCUAGCCGUAAACAUUGUCCGUUAGUUCUUCUCAAUUUUUAUUGGGAGGGAUGUUAGCAAACGCGUUAAACGGAUCGCCUGGGGAGUAUAGCCGCAAGGCCGAAACUCAAACGAAUUGGCGGGGAGGCGCACAACCAGUGGAGCAUGUGGUUCAAUUCGAUACAAAGCGAUGAACCUUACCUGGGUUUGAAAUGCACCUGCAGGCUUCUGAAAGGAAGCGUCCUUCGAGGGUGGUGCACAGCUGUUGCAUGGCUGUCGUCAGCUCGUGACGUGAGUUGUUCUCUUAAGUGAGGUAACGAGCGCAACCCCCGUUCUGUGUUAUUGUGUCACAGAAGACUGCCUAGCAUUAUUUUGUUAGGAGGAAGGAGGGGACGACGUCAAGUCAUCAUGAUGCUUAUAUCCAGGGCUACACACAUCCUACAAUGGGCUAUAACAGAGGGUUGCAAGACCGCAAGGUGGAGCUAAUCCCUAAACUAGCCCUCAGUUGGGAUUGCAGGCUGAAACUCGCCUGCAUGAACCCGGAAUUGGUAGUAAUCGCACAUCAGCAGCGUGCGGUGAAUACGUUCUCGCCUCUUGCACACACCGCCCGU
rnacentral:rRNA from 1 species